ensembl:snoRNA SNORD115 Small nucleolar RNA SNORD115
GAGUCUAUGAUGACAAACCAAUAUCAUGAAGAGAGGUGAUGUCAUAAAUAUCAUGUUCAGUAUGGUUCUGCUGUGGCCC